AGCGAACGCUGGCGGCAGGCUUAACACAUGCAAGUCGAGCGGGCGUAGCAAUACGUCAGCGGCAGACGGGUGAGUAACGCGUGGGAACGUACCUUUUGGUUCGGAACAACCCAGGGAAACUUGGGCUAAUACCGGAUAAGCCCUUACGGGGAAAGAUUUAUCGCCGAAAGAUCGGCCCGCGUCUGAUUAGCUAGUUGGUGAGGUAAUGGCUCACCAAGGCGACGAUCAGUAGCUGGUCUGAGAGGAUGAUCAGCCACAUUGGGACUGAGACACGGCCCAAACGCCUACGGGAGGCAGCAGUGGGGAAUAUUGGACAAUGGGCGCAAGCCUGAUCCAGCCAUGCCGCGUGAGUGAUGAAGGCCCUAGGGUUGUAAAGCUCUCUUGUGCGGGAAGAUAAUGACGGUACCGCAAGAAUAAGCCCCGGCUAACUUCGUGCCAGCAGCCGCCGUAAGAC
rnacentral:rRNA from 1 species